AGAAGUCAGCCCUGUGGCAGGAGGCAGAAGCUGGGAUGGGUGCCCACAAAGGAAGCCUUAUUUUCCAAGGCAGCCAGAGAAUCAUGGGUCUGAACUUAUCCCGUCUUCUCAGAUGGAGGACUAAGACCCAGAAAGAGGGAGGAAUUUGUCCAAGCUCUCCCAGUGAGCUGAUGCCAGAGCCAGGACUAGAACUCAGGUCUCCCAAUUCUCAGCACAGUGUGAUUUUCCUUGCAGAAUGUUGAUGCUCAAAGAACAGGAACCCCAGAACCCCAGGGAGGUAAGGAAGAAGAGCACAGCCAGGAUCAGAAGAGUGAAGAAACAAUGAUGUCCCACAGGCAAGGAUGCCCACACAGAAUGACUUUGGGGGGACUGCCAGUUAUUUUGUAUGGAAGGCUGAAGGUAGUGGCAGGAGACUUGUUAGGCCUUGCACUGGUGAGGCUGGUGGGGAACAGAUGUUCAAGGGCCUGGAAAACUGUGCUGAACAGUUUGGGUUUUCUUUCAUAGACCAUGGGGGUGAGGUGGGACUUGAAGGCCUUUGAUCGGGGGACACAUGUGUUUAGAUCUGAAUUUUAGGAAGGCCCCUCAGGUGGCCAGGCUAGGUGAGGUGAGCAGAGGACUUGGUAGUGGAAGGCUUCUCUUGCUGUGACUGCCUAUUUGUAUGUCUGACUGGGCGCUGUCUCACUGGCAGGAGGUGGCAGGCCCAGGGAUGCUGGACAGUAUGUGGUUCACCACUUGGGGUAGCCAAGAGUAGCAAGGGGUGAGGUGGGUUCAACUCACAAACCUGAAGCUCUUGGUAAAUACUGCUUACUUUUCAGGUCACAGGGAGUAAGUAGCUGCUCUAGGGGUGAACCCAAGAGUGGUGAUUCACUGUCCAAACUACUGGCUGGAGGAGAGCUCGUGGUGGUCAUGUACGUGUGUGCAUGUGUGUGUGUCUAUAUUUGAGUGGGGCAAGGGAGGGGAUUGGGGACCGGGGGAGACCAGCCUUCUAAACACAUGAUACAAAUACUAUGGCUAUGACACAACAGGUGUUUGUCAACCUGUUCCAGCUCUUCCCAACUAUGGCAGUGGCUAUGGCCUAACAGCUGGAGGCAGGAACAGGGCAGUGACAAGAAUCAGCAACUGCAUAGGGGCCUCAUCAAUUUCCAGUCCUCCAUCCAGAAGAGGACAGGACAUGCUCAAGCUGCCCCAAAGAGAAAGGACAAAGGAGAGGAAUUCUGAGAUGCAAGUCCCUAUGGAAGAGGGGACAGAGUUAAAUUCCAGCAGUCCAACAGACUAUGGCUAGAGCCAUAGUCUUCUCUUACCUGUAUCUUUAACGUUCAGCUUACUAUUGGUUCCUUAUUAUCUCCUGUUAGUGAGGUUCCUUUCAAAAACAAUAAAACAAAACAAUAUUUUCCCGCUCAACUGCUCAACUUUUUGACUUAAUUUUUUUUUUUUUUUUUUGAGACGGAGUCUCGCUCUUUUGCCCAGGCCGGACUGCAGUGGCGCUAUCUCGGCUCACUGCAAGCUCCGCCUCCCGGGUUCACGCCCUUCUCCUGCCUCAGCCUCCCAAGUAGCUGGGACUACAGGGGCCCGCCACAGCGCCCAGCUAAUUUUUUGUAUUUUUAGUAGAGACGGGGUCUCACCGUGUUAGCCAGGAUGGUCUACGAUCUCCUGACCUCAUGAUCCGCCUGCCUCCGCCUUCCAAAGUGCUGGGAUUACAGGCGUGAGCCACAGCGCCCGGCCAACUUUUUGACUUAUUUCUUUUCCUCCUUUGCACCAUCAAGUAUUUGAGCAGUGGACACCCUUGCCUCCAUUUCCUCACCCACUAUGCCCUCCUCUCCUCCUGCAAACUGGUUUCCCCGCAUCACUCUUCUGAAAUUCUGCUCCCCAAACAUACUCAUUCCAGUGAAAUUGUCUUCCCCAGAAUUCCUUUGGUGUCUGAAAGGACUGGGGAGAAAGGAUAAAAAAACUAUUAAGAUUGGCUGG
rnacentral:lncRNA from 1 species